rnacentral:rRNA from 1 species
UACGAAGGGGGCUAGCGUUGUUCGGAUUUACUGGGCGUAAAGCGCACGUAGGCGGAUCUUUAAGUCAGGGGUGAAAUGCCGAGGCUCAACUUCGGAACUGCCUUUGAUACUGGAGAUCUUGAGUUCGGGAGAGGUGAGUGGAAUUGCGAGUGUAGAGGUGAAAUUCGUAGAUAUUCGCAGGAACACCAGUGGCGAAGGCGGCUCACUGGCCCGAUACUGACGCUGAGGUGCGAAAGCGUGGGGAGCAAACAGG